rnacentral:lncRNA from 1 species
GACAAAAUUCCUACCUCUCCAGUUUGUUCUAUAUCCUUUCAGAUCCUUGUGUUGUCUGUGAAUCUAGAGGAGAGAUAUAUCCGUUUAAUCAUAUUUCUGAAAAGUAAGUCAGAAAAACUUAUUUCAGGUAACCCAGUUCUUCUCCUGACUCACCAGUUUAUCACCAAGAUCUGUAUACUGUGUUAAAGUGGGACAAAGGGAUCUCUGUGUAAGGUUUAUAACUUUUCCCUUGAAAGGGAGCUUGACGGACAGUGUUGGUGCAUGCCUUUAAUCCCAGCACUCGGAAGGCAGAGGCAGGCGGAUUUCUGAGUUCGAGGCCAGCCUGGUCUACAGAGUGAGUUCCAGGACAACCAGAGCUACACAGAGAAACCCUGUGUCAAAAAAAAAAAAAAAAGGAAAAAGAAAGGGAGCUUGUUUGAGAAACUACUCAAUGUUUUAUUAUCCCACAUCACUGGUUUCUACUGUCAAACUAUAUAACAGAUUAACAGGCAAAAUUUCUAAAAACACACUAUAGCAUAUCAGUUCAUUUUAAGCAUUAUUGUGAAAUAUACUUUAAACAUGUAAGACAAUUGUGUGGUGUAAUUAUCAAAGAAACUACCAUGUAAGCAGUCAAACAGGCCAAUAAAUGGAGUUUGCUAAUCCUCCAAAGCCCUGUAAUGGCCUUCCUAAACAAGUCUCCCUUCUGGGAGAGUGGACAUUCCCUGGCAUUUGUGGUACUCGUUUCCUUGCGUCCGUCAUUGUUCUGUCACAGGUGUUCCUCCCUAAGCAGUACAUUGUUUAGUUUUUCCCUUUCUUGUGAAUGUUCUAUAGAGGGAAUGAUAAUGUGUAAUCUGUUAUGCUUACCAUAUUUGCUCAACCUGACUGUAAUCCAUAUGUUGUUCGGGUUCGUAUAGCUGUAAUUUGUUCCCUUUAAUUUAUGAAUAUUCAGUGUUCCAUUGUAACAAUAUAUAACAGUUUGUUUAGCCGUGUUGCUGAUAGGAGUCUGGGUUCAGUUCUAGGCUGUUAGAAAUACUGUUGAAAUUUUCCUAAGACUUUAAUCCAUCUCAUCUACAUAAAUUUCUGUAUACUGUGUACUUGGGAUUGUAUGUCAUAAGCUUGAAUAAAUCAUGCUGCGUGUCGUCUAACAUUCUAGGUCACAUUUGCUACAUGCAUGCCAUUGCUCCACACCUCACAACGCUUGGCAAGAACUCAGUCUUCAAAUCCUGCUGAGUGUUGAGCAGAACUCACUUCAGUGUUAACUUAGGUUCCCCCUGUUAUUGACUCUGUUGAGGGCCUUCUUUCUAGAGGAACAGAACUUAAAGAAGGGGGCUUUAUUAGAACAGCUAGUCAACAACCAAAGAGAGGUCCAAGAAUCUAGUAGUUGUUCAGUACUAAAGGCUGACUGCCUCUGCUGGUUUUCAGUAUGUGUUAGAAUGCCAAUUAAGGAGACUCUAAUGCCUAUGAAGGAAUGGAUUUACCCUUGAGAGCAAGAGCUAGCAUGCAAAGAGCAAGCUUCCUUCUUCCACUUGCUUUCUAUAGGCUGCCAGUAGGAGGUGUGGCCCAGAAUAAAAGUGGGUCUUCCCACUUCAGAAGGUCCAAUUAAAAGCAGCUCUUCCCACUUCAAAUGAUUUUUGAUUAAGAAAAGUUCCCUUUCAGAUGUACCCAACUACUUGGGUUUUAGUUAUGAGCCACCAUGUUGUUGCUGGGAAUUGAACUCAAAACCUCUGCAAGAGCAGUCAAUGCUCUUAACCGUUGAGCCAUCUCUCCAGCCUCUCGAGUGUCUUUUUGUAGUCUAUGUUUGAACACCAAAUUGGACUACAGUAAUGCCAUCAAAUGAGUAUAUUCAAAACAGAUUCUUUCUAAAAUAAGAGUCUAGCCUACCUAAUUAUCUUUAUGAUUUGAUCAUAAACUGUUUAAAGUAGGAUAUACACAAACACACUAUACAUAUAUUCCUUACAAAACAAUGCAUUUUCAACUAUUAAAAGCAUAACAUCUUAGCUUUAUUUUCCCUCAGUUCAUGAAGGCAGUGUUUACUCUCAAAGCCGUAAGAAUAAGAUCUCUUGUGGCUCUGUAUUUUUCUCAUAGACAGUUAUAAGAAGUUGUUUUCCCACCAGAGCUUUUGAAUUUCAUUUCCUUGGUUCAUUGAUUUUAUAAAAGUCACAAUGGCUUAUUCUUUCCUACACAGUCCCUACUGAAGUAUAGGGAAUUAUUUUUGUAAUUUUAUUAAGUAAUUUCACAUAUACUGUGACAUACCACCCAAUAUACUACGUUUGGCCAUUAUUUUUUCUUAUCUCAGCUCUUUGUUCAACUGGGUGAUAUUUUAAAACUGGAGGAAGCUGGGGCCCUGAGAGAUUGAUUUGCCAAGAGUCAGGAAAGCAAGUGAAUAGGAAAGCUGAGCUCCACCCUGCGUCUUCAGAAAGAGACCAUUCCACUCUAUCCCACUGACUCGGUCUUCUGCAGCAGCUAAGCAGAGUGAUUCCCAGGCUCAGUGGGACACUGUUCAGUCCCACAAAGCAGAGCUCUAGUGGAGUAAGUUUUCUUCUGGCCUACGAAUUUUAGGACCUGUGAAAGAGGAAGCCUUGCCAGGAAGGAGACGAGUCUAGAAAGAGAGUAAGGAAAGAUAAUGAAAGGAAAAUGUAAUCAAAUUGCAUUAUGUAUGGAAUUGUAGACAAUUACUCUUUAGAUUAAUGACAUUUUUAAGAUUAAUAAUGCUUAAAGGGAAUUAAAUAAAAGGAAACUUGCUUUC